rnacentral:rRNA from 1 species
UCGCUUCUACCGAUCGAAUGGUCCGGUGAAGUUCUUGGACUGCCGUUGUCCCUCGUUCGCGAGAGACGAUGGUAGGAAAUUACCUAAACCUUAUCAUUUAGAGGAAGAAG